CCAGAGCUGAGAGGGAUGGCCAGCUGGGACUGUCCAAGAAAUGCCCAGCCAGCAAAGCUCAGCUUUCCAGGGAAUCAGCCCCUGAGGAGACUGACAGGGUUUGUGUUGAGAAGGCAAACACUGUGUGGGGCUGGUUUUGGCAACAAGGUCAUCUUUGGAGGUGGAACUCAGCUAAGAGUAAAUCCCAAAGUUACUCCAUCUCCAUCAGUCUACAGGCUGACCUCUAAAGAUGACCAGGAUCUGGAAAUGUGCCUUAUCACAGAUUACUCCCCUGAAAAGCUCACUCUUAACUCAGCUGAGCAGCACACCUCCACUGUGGUGGAGGUGGCAGCUGCUGGGAACAGAGAGGAAUCCAGCUACCUGUCCACCUACUGGGCCAGGAGAGAUGAGCUGCAGUGCAGUGCCAGCCACGAGGGCUUUGGAGAGCUGGAGGGCGAGGACCCUGAGAGUGGUGCCAGUGCUGUCUGUGUCACAGGGCUGUCCCCACACUUCAGGACAGAUGAACACUUGAACACACUGUCUUUAUCACAGCUGGGCCUCAAAAUAGUUUUAAUGAAAGGAAUAAUUUUUAAUGUGCUGAUGACGAUGCUUAUGUGGAAGAAAAAAAAGGACUGAAAGUAACCAGGAGCUGCAGUCCUGAGGUACCAAAACCAUCUGCUUUGAGAGAGCUUUGAGAGAGCAUCGUGAGCAAGAGGGAGCACAGGGAUAUUCCUUGUGCAAGGGCCAUCAAUUGCUGUUCUUAUAAACCACACCAGCCAUUAUAUUCUAAAUUGCUUUAUUUACAUUGACUUCAAACUACUCAAAAUUAAGCAUUUCCAGCAUUCUGCCCUCCAGAUGCCAGGGUCAUUCACCAUACAGUGCCUCUUGUGCACGAAGCUGACUUUGCUACAAUUACACAUUGCCAAGCAUCACUGUUACUUGCAUUAAAAUGAUGAGUUCUGCCUGGAGCAGUGCUGUUUGUUAAAAACUGCAAGCUAAAUAUCACCUGAAUGGGAAUUUUUCCUAUUUUGGUAGCUUUAGGGUAUUCAUGUCUCUUAGGGUGCACUCCCAGAAACCUUUUCAGGUGCAAAUGAAACACUGAAAAGCAAAGGGAGGUUGACUCAGGAUGCACUGUCCUGCCACCCUUUGCUAGAUCAGAGCAAGAUAUCCCUUUUUCCCACUAAAGGAAGAGCUGCAGGACUCCCAGAAAUCCCAAAUUCAGUGAAAUGGUCACUUCAAUAUCAUAGAAAAAAAAAAAAAA